AAAAAAUUCACACAACCUCUGCUAUAUAAACAUAAAGCCACAUAUUUUACACCCAUCAGUUUUCUUCAUCGACUUAGAACUCUCAAAUUCUUUGGUGAUCUUUUUGGCUAUAAAAUUAGAAAGGAAAAACUCUCUAAUUCUUCACUUCAUACAUACAUCAAGCGGCCAAAGUCUAAACAGAGAAAGAAAAGUCAGUGGGUCAGAAAAGAUUCUUGGGUUGGGAGGAUCAUCAUAUUUGGAGUGAUCAUGUUUACCAUUUCAAAGGGAUUUGCUGUUAUAUCUGCAACUAAGAACCUCCAACUACCGUUCAUAGAAGAUAUAUUUGCAUCAGGGCGCACAAGAUUUUUGGAAUGGGUGGUUUCGGAAAAUCAGGUUCAACUGUUGGAAUAAAAAAAAGGUAGAGGGAAGGCUAAGGGUAAAGAUGGAAACGGCACUCCAAUUGUAAUACGUAGAGGAAGGAUUAUAACCAUUGGAGCUGUGCGAACUAUAGGAGUGCUUUUUUAUCAAGCUAUCGAUGGAGCAUGGCCAACAUUUAAAACAUUUCCAUCAACUCAAAUGGAUUUACUGUAUGAUCGCUUUAACGCAACAGGAUAUACACACACAUGCUCAUAAGAAGAGAUGAGGGAGGCAUUCGAAGAACAUAUUAAAUUGCGAUAUUCCGAUUAGAUGUCGUCAUUGAGAAAUAGCGUUUUUAAGAAAUACAAGACUACUGGUGAUAGAUACACUCAUUGCCCACUAGGGAUAUCUCAAGAUGUUUGGUCUAAACUGGUUGAUCAUUGGUUGCAGCCUACAUGGCAGGAUAAAAGUAAAAGAAACAAGUCUAAUAGGGCGAAAUCCACAAUUGUGCAUACAACAGGUUCUGUUCCAGUGGAAAAGUACAGAAAAGUUGAGCUUGAUCAAACUGGAAUUGAACCGAGUCCAAUUGAUUGUUUCAAAAAGUUCCAUGUAAGUAAGCCUAAGAAUUGAGGGGAAGAAAGUUGGCCAAGUGAAAAGGCUAAAGAACUUUUUGAUAAAAUGGAGAAUAAAAAGGUUGCUGCAACGGAAGACGAGAAUGAAGUAGAUGAUUGAGAUAUAUACAAGGAGGUUAUUGGUGGGCCAAGUCACGGUCGUAUCCUUAGCUUGGGUGGUGGCUAUAGUACAAAAGAUGUGUAUCCCUCAGAUGACCAAGGUUGUAAUAAACGUAUAUGCUUAGAACGUGAAGAAGAGCAUGAGAAAUUAAAAGAGGAAGUGAAGAACUUGAAAAGUGUGCUGUAUGAAUUGAAAGAUCUAGUUCAAAGUAUGAGGGAAAACAACUCAAAUACUUAUGCACGCUCAAGACAAUCCGCUUCAAUGGACAAUAUGUAGAAAGUUGUUCAGAUGCUCACCUCGAAGACGAGUAGUGCAACAUCAAUUGUAUUUUGCUACAAUAUGUAUUUUGAAUUUCAAUGUUUUGAUAUAUUUGCGGAUUGUUUAUAUGUUUUAAGGAUGAUGGGGAUUGUUUAUGUUUUAAUUAUUGAGAAUAAUUUUAAUUGAAUGCUUAAAAUUUUAGUACA